AUAUCCUCACAUCUUAGUGAAACUUGGAAACAUACAAGCAUCCGCCUAUUUUUAAAAUUUCCAAAAUGCCAAAUAAUCCCAUGGUCUCUUGUUCAUUUAUUUUCACAGAGUGCAAGAGUGGGUGGUGAUGUGUAUGGAGAGAGAAGUUCAGUGCAAACGCGGGAUUCAUACUGUUGAAUGGCAGUGGGAAGGUAGCUAAUAGGUUUAUUGUCGGGAAAGACAUGGAAUAUAAAGGAAAGACAAUGUAGAUCUGAAUUAGGUGAGUGAUAUGAUACUAGGAAUAAAAGACAGGAUGGCUGGGCCCAGCCGGCUUGAAGAAACUGUAGGAUUUGAUCACUGUUUUGAGGGAUGUUUGAAGCCCAAUGAUUUGUGGAAUUGUGAGGUCAGCAGUAGAAAUAGGUUCAGGAGGGUGAUGGGGGACUUUUUGUUUGGAGAAAGUUGAUGAUUUUGGUCUCAAACCGGUCCUAGGCUCUGCUGGUGAAGGUGUCCAACAGUCACUGGAAAUGCAGGCACAGCCGGGGAAGGUAUCUGAAGCAACGUUAUCUAUUUGGGAAUUAUCUACGUAGAGGUGACUGUUAAAGAUGAGAAUGCUGAGAUCCCCGAGGAAGAGAGCUGAAGCAGCAAAGAGAGGAGGGUCUUGCAUUUGAUAAUCAGAUGAAGGAAAAACACAGCAAAAGUGACUAAUGGAGGAAUAACAACACCCUGUCAAGAGGAACUGUUGUAAAGGGAGGUCGUGGUCAGCAAUGCCAACUUUGAAGAGGGGUGGGGUUGGACCCUGAGAAGAUGCAGCCAGAUUUGACAAUUGAGGGGGAGCGGAUUGGACAACCAUGAACUCCAAAGCCUGACUGAGGGGGUUACUAAAUGUAAGUGGAGGAGGAGGAAGAGGCCAAGGGCAGAGGGGUCCCUGGAGAUGUCCUGCUGUAGAGGCAGCGAGAAGAUGGGGGUGCAGGGUCACCACACUGAGGGGCCCACAACUGUCUUCCUGCAUAAUUCUCGGUCUUUCAUCCUAGCGUGGAGGCAUUUCCCUACUCUCCCAUGAAUCUUUCUUCCUUUUUUUAACCCUCACCGAAUUAUAUUUUUAGAUUUUUAGAGAGAAUAGAAGAGAGAGGAAAAGACAGAGAGAAAUAUCAAUAUGAGAGAAAUACAUGAUUGGUUGCCUCCUGCAUGUGCCCCGUGCAGGGCCUGGGCCAUGAAGGAGCCUGCAACUGAGGUACGUGCCCUUGACCGGAACGGAACCUGGGAUCCUUCAGUAUGCUGGCCGAUGCUCUAUCCACUGAGCCUAACCGGCUAGGGCUCUAAUGAAUCUUUUAAGUCAUCCAACAGUCACUUCUAUCCCAGCAGCAGAUGAAAGGACAGAGGGCACUUUUCCCUGGGUCAGACCUCUGGCCUCGUAGCUGAGGUUCUGCCAGGAGCAGCACCUUAUCUGCCCCAUUAUGUGAUCUGAAGGGACGAGGGUGACUCACGUGAAAAUCCCCAAGCAUUCAGCCCUCACGGGGGAAUGCAAACUCACAAAGCAGCACCUUGGCAUGGAGAGCAGAAAAGUGAAGCUGACUUCAGUUACAUUUUUGUGGUUUUCUCCUUUGCGUUUCUGUUGUCAUCUCCAAGAGCAUCUGAGUGCCAAGUGUUUUUCCUAAAGCCUCCUGUCAAUCAAGGGCAGAGUCUCAGCCCAGCUGGGAGCCUCGCACGUCGCCAACACCGUCUCCAGGAAGUCAUGCAGCACAGCGCCACGCAGGGGACCUGACUGUUAGAGGCAAAGUGACUGGAGGGCGUUAGACCGACCUCCCAAAGGCUCCCUUCAGACCAGUUGAACUGGCUCCCACCAAAUACAGCCAAACACAGACGGUCCGAAGAGGCAUUUCUAAAAAUCAUUUUGUACACUUACGCAUCCCCAAGCCGCCCCCUUCGCAUUAAAGCAAACUUCAGACAUGGAGCUUCAGGGGUUAUGAUUUAUUUAUACAACUGUCUGAAUGAAGCUCUACUUUCCACCCUCCACUCUUCCCUUUUCCUUCUCCCUUAGGAGGGAAGCGGGUUUCAAUAUAGUGCGGUGUUUUGUUUGUCUGAUAGAAUUUGGAUUUCUCUACUUUAAAAAAAAAUGUUUUUACUGAUUUUUCAGAGAGAGAGGAAGGGAGAGAGAGAUAGAAACAUCAGUCUACAACUCAGGCAUGUGCCCUGACCGGGAACCGAACCAGUGACCUCUUGGUACAUGGAAUGAUGCUCAACCAACUGAGCCACACUGGCCAUGCUCUUCACAUUUUUUAAUAUCCUAUUUCGUUUGGGGCAAUGGAAUGAGUAGACUGAUAAGUUUUCAUAGGGGCAUGCCUGCAUUUAAUGUCAAAUUUUAUUGGUUUUGCUUUUUCUCCCCUAGACGUUUCUUCUUUGGGGAUUUGUGGUUCAGAGGGUGGCUCCUUCAGAAUGAACUCGUCUAACACGAUGCCAGUCUGAAGAACUACAGUGGCUGUGCUCACUCCUCCUCAGGCUUCCUGGCGUCCGUUCUCACGUGAAUGUCAGUAAAAUGGCAGCUCUCAGCCAGGGAGCAUUCUUGGUUCCUGAGACAGGGAACGAAGCCAGGCACUUGUACAUUUGUUUUCAAAUGAACUGGUUCUUAUGCUGUAAAUAUUUAACUAUUCAUCGUAGUAUUCCUACCAAAGUUUCCACUAGGUUUCCAGCUAGUUCCAUUUCUCAGGGGCAGGAAGGACCGACCUCUAGCUUUCCAGAACUUUCUCUAAACAAAUAUAGACCGUCUUCCGGGGAGUUUGGUUUGAGAAAGAACAAAUCCUGGGUGAAUAAUGGGAUCUGGAAGGCGUAUUUUCCCUUUGAUUGAGGCAAGGAGGCCAUGGGGAACUAAGUUGGCCAGCAAAGACUAAUGGAUGGAAUGGUGACUCUUAUUGUGGUCCUGAAUAUUUUAUCAUUCCUUAUGCCUUCUUUGCUAAAAUUGUGGGAGGUGAUGGCUAAACGCAAAGGGGUUUUUUUGUUUUGUUUUGUUCUCAGUUUAUGGUUUUGAGCAUCAGAGGAGGGCCGUUAGCUAUUAAAGCUACUGAAGCGGGCAGGUGAUCUUAUCUUGGUGAUGACAAUCACUGCAGUCAGCUUUUCUCUAACCCCUGAGGUGUCUGGGUUCCUGAACCUUCAUUUCUCAGUGGCAUUUGCUCUCAGGAAGAAAGUCCAGGAAUGCAUUAGGCAGAUUUAGAUUUAUAGCUCACCUCUGUUUACUCUUGGGGUGAUAUAUUGGUUGAUUUUAGGGGAAAUAUUUUUAUAAGACUUAUUUUAUGCUUUUGAUUUCUUUUAUGACUCUUCUUUUAAGGGUGAGCUACUUUGCCAUACUGAAAUCAAUUGUGAUUGUUUUUCCUUUCUUCUGUCAUUUCCUCCCUUCCUCUCUCCCUCCCUCCCUUUCUUCCUUCAUUCCUUCUUUCCUUUCUUCCUAAACAUGUAUCUCCUGUUGUCCCAUCUGUGGACAGCAAGGCAAGAAGUCCACCCAGUCUGAAUGUGUAACCUUAUCACUCAGAACACGACCUCUCAGAAUGUCUGAUGGCACUCGGACCACAAAUGCCUGUUAAGGACAGAAACCACUUUGAAACUAGAGGAGGAAGGAGAAGAAAGAGAAUGUGGGCAACUCUUCCAUCAGCUUUUGAUGAUUCUUGAUGAUAAGUUGGAGAAGACUGGAAAGGGCUAAAAGAACAUAGAAUGGAACAUAAUUUUAAUUUGUCAGUGAUUGCAGUCUGAUAUAUAUACUUCACCUCAAUUUGCCCCUGGGUUUCACCAUUUCUUAUUUCUUAGCUAUUGGUAAAUUCUUUGGAUUGGC